rnacentral:rRNA from 1 species
GAUGAACGCUGGCGGCGUGCCUAAUACAUGCAAGUAGAACGCUGAAGCUUGGUGCUUGCACCGAGCGGAUGAGUUGCGAACGGGUGAGUAACGCGUAGGUAACCUGCCUCUUAGCGGGGGAUAACUAUUGGAAACGAUAGCUAAUACCGCAUAAAAGUCGAUAUCGCAUGAUAUUGAUUUGAAAGGUGCAAAUGCAUCACUAAGAGAUGGACCUGCGUUGUAUUAGCUAGUUGGUGAGGUAACGGCUCACCAAGGCGACGAUACAUAGCCGACCUGAGAGGGUGAUCGGCCACACUGGGACUGAGACACGGCCCAGACUCCUACGGGAGGCAGCAGUAGGGAAUCUUCGGCAAUUGGGGCAACCCUGACCGAGCAACGCCGCGUGAGUGAAGAAGGUUUUCGGAUCGUAAAGCUCUGUUGUAAGAGAAGAACGAGUGUGAGAGUGGAAAGUUCACACUGUGACGGUAACUUACCAGAAAGGGACGGCUAACUACGUG